rnacentral:rRNA from 1 species
GAUGAACGCUAGCGGCAGGCCUAACACAUGCAAGUCGAGGGGUAGAAGGAGCUUGCUCCUUUGAGACCGGCGCACGGGUGCGUAACGCGUAUGCAAUCUACCUUGUACAGGGGCAUAGCCCAGAGAAAUUUGGAUUAAUGCCCCAUAGUAUAUAACCUUCGCAUGUUGGUUAUAUUAAAGUUCCAACGGUACAAGAUGAGCAUGCGUCCCAUUAGUUAGUUGGUAAGGUAACGGCUUACCAAGACGAUGAUGGGUAGGGGUCCUGAGAGGGAGAUCCCCCACACUGGUACUGAGACACGGACCAGACUCCUACGGGAGGCAGCAGUGAGGAAUAUUGGUCAAUGGUCGCAAGACUGAACCAGCCAUGCCGCGUGCAGGAAGACGGUCCUAUGGAUUGUAAACUGCUUUUAUACAGGAAGAAACCCUCCCACGUGUGGGAGCUUGACGGUACUGUAGGAAUAAGGAUCGGCUAACUCCGUG